CCUACGGGUGGCAGCAGUGAGGCAUAUUGGUCAAUGGACGAGAGUCUGAACCAGCCAAGUAGCGUGAAGGAUGACUGCCCUAUGGGUUGUAAACUUCUUUUAUAUGGGAAUAAAAUGUUCCACGUGUGGGAUUUUGUAUGUAUCAUAUGAAUACGGCUCGGCUAACUCCGUGCCAGCAGCCGCGGUAAUCCGGAGGAUCCGAGCGUUAUCCGGAUUUAUUGGGUUUAAAGGGAGCGUAGGUGGAGUGUUAAGUCAGUUGUGAAAGUUUGCGGCUCAACCGUAAAAGUGCAGUUGAAACUGGCAGUCUUGAGGACAGUAGAGGUGGGCGGAAUUCGUGGUGUAGCGGUGAAAUGCUUAGAUAUCACGAAGAACUCCGAGUGCGAAGGCAGUUCACUGGACUGCAUCUGACACUGAGGCUCGAAAGUGUGGGUAUCAAACAGGAUUAGAUACCCUAGUAGUC
rnacentral:rRNA from 1 species